AAUGAACGCUGGCGGCAUGCCUAACACAUGCAAGUCGAACGGUAACACGUCUUCGGAUGGUGACGAGUGGCGCACGGGUGAGUAACGCAUAGGGAUAUACCUUACACUGGGGGAUAACUGCUGGAAACAGUAGCUAAUACCGCAUACGCCAUAUUGGGAAAGCUCCGGCGGUGUAAGAUUAGCCUAUGUUUGAUUAGCUAGUUGGUGAGGUAAAGGCUCACCAAGGCGACGAUCAAUAGCGGGUCUGAGAGGAUGACCCGCCACACUGGUACUGAGACACGGACCAGACUCCUACGGGAGGCAGCAGUGGGGAAUAUUGCGCAAUGGAGGCAACUCUGACGCAGCAAUGCCGCGUGAAUGAUGAAGGUUUUAGGACUGUAAAGUUCUUUCAGUGGGGAAGAUAGUGACGGUACCCACAGAAGAAGUCCCGGCUAACUCCGUGCCAGCAGCCGCGGUAAGACACGCGAGACG
rnacentral:rRNA from 1 species